rnacentral:rRNA from 1 species
CGUAGGUGGCAAGCGUUGUCCGGAUUUAUUGGGUUUAAAGGGUGCGUAGGUGGUGGAUUAAGUCUGUGGUGAAAGACGAUCGCUCAACGAUUGCAGUGCCAUGGAUACUGAUUCACUUGGAUGACGUUGAGGUGGGCGGAAUUGACCGUGUAGCGGUGAAAUGCUUAGAUAUGGUCAAGAACCCCGAUUGCGUAGGCAGCUCACUGGACGUUAAUUGACACUGAGGCACGAGAGUGUGGGAUCAAACAGGAUU